rnacentral:lncRNA from 1 species
CCCCAGACUGAGAGCGCCCCAGACCGCUACACUCCCGGACCCGGAGCUUCGCCCGACCGCGGGCAGUGCCCACCUGCAGCCUCCACCGGCCGGGGUUAGCAGCCAGGAGCUGCCAGACGCCUGACAUUCUUCUUUCUGUUCCUACUUUUUUUCCUUCUUCUUCUUUUUUUUUUUUUUUGUAGCCCUCUCUGGGUGCCUUAUCUCUUUAAUCACACCUCUCUUUCACUUUCCACGGUAGUCAGGAGGCGGAGAUCGCUGCUUCUCACCUACUUUCUGAACUUGGCCUCCGCAGUCGCGACCUGGCGUGAAGGAGGAGCUGCCGCCCCCGCCCCAGCCUCGGGGACGCCUCUCUGAAGAGAAGCCAUUUGAAGCAGAAUCCAAACCAUGAAUUGUAGAGAAUUACCCUUGACCCUUUGGGUGCUUAUAUCUGUAAGCACUGCAGGUAAGUGAUUAUACAUACUCUCAAACAUAUUUCAUGAGUAAUUGAGGAAGAAUGUCAAAGUUUUUUUUUUUAUGUGGUGGCUACUGAAGAUGCUGAAUUUAUUCAGAAAAGAAAAGAUUCUGCAGUCUGAGUUCAUGUAGUGAGAGCAGAGUGAAAAACUUGCAUCUUGAAAUAAAUUACAUUUGUCUGAGGUGAAAA